rnacentral:rRNA from 1 species
UUACAGAAGAAUUUAAUUUUGGUUCAGAUUGAACGUUAUUCAGUAGUUUAAGGCAUGCAAAUCAUUUUAAUAAAGUAUUUUAUGAAAACUUCAACUUAGUCUACUGGCACUAGAAACUUUGUUGGUUCUCAAGUUAAAUAGAAUAUUUCGGUUAAAAGGUGUAGAGGUGAGUAAUAUUAAAUUAGAUACCCAUUAGUCUCCGUAAAUAGGAUAUAAGCAAAGAGAUGAAUCUCGCUAUUGGAUUUUAAUUUAACUUGACUAGGUAGUUGGUGGGGUUAAAGGCCUACCAAGCCGACGAUCAAUAGCCAAUCUUGUAAGAGACAAUGGCCACAUUGGGUUUGAAAUCGACCCUAGUAGUUAUAAACUACCAGCAGCCGAGAAUAUUUGUCAAUGCUCGCAAGAGUGAACGAGCUAACUGAAAGAAUAUAUAAUCUAAGAUUAGGAAUCUUAUACAAUUUAUUAUAAGAUUAAAGACAAAUCUAACUAACAGUGUCGUCCAAAUUCUGGUGCCAGAAGACUCGGUAAUACCAGAGACGCGAACGUUAAUCAUCUUGAAUGGGCAUAAAGGGUUUGUAGGCGGCUUAUUUAUUAAUAGGCUAGAAUCUUAUAGAGGUUAAUAAAAUACUUAGAGGAGGGCUGAUAUCCUUAGAUCCUAAGUGGAAUCCUAAUUGCGAAGGCCAUUUUCCACUACAGAUUGACGCUGAGACACGAAGGUUAGGAUAGGAACUAGGAUUAGAGACCCUAUUACCCCUAACUGUAAACGAUGAAUGGAAGAUAUUUACAACUGUAAGUGUCGAAGUGAAUACGAUAACCAUUCCGCCUUGCCAGUAUACUUGCAAAAGUGAAAACAAAAAAAUUAGUCGGUCCUAAAGCAAACGAAGUGAAGCAUGUUAUUUAAUUCGAUAAUCCGCGUAAAAUCUUACCACUUCUUGAAUAUUAAACUUAAUAUUAAGGUCUAAACUUAAGGGUUUAGGAUAAAUAAUUAAAUUAUUCAGUUAUUUAUUAUAAUACAGGUGUUGCAUGGCUGUCGUCAGUUCGUGUCAUGAGAUGUGAGGUUAAUUCCACUAACGAACGCAAUCCCUACUAUUAAUUAAAGUUUAAUAGUGAUUUUUUGAUAUAAGAAAUCUUUUGGGGCUAAGACAAGUCCUUAUGACCCGAAUGAAGUGGGCUAUAGACGUGCUACUAAAGCUCAGGACAAAGUGAUGCAAUACUAACACCUUUUCUUUAUACUGUGUUAUAUUUAUAUAAUUAGUAUCCUAAAGGAUAGGAAUACAGAGGAGCUAAUCACAAAAACUGGCUAUUGUUUAUUGCUUAUAUUUAUAUAAUUAGUAUCCUAAAGGAUAGGAAUACAGAGGAGCUAAUCACAAAAACUGGCUAUUGUUUAUUGCUGUUUACUGAUUGUUGCCUGGAACUCGGCAGCAUGAAGUAGGAAUUUCGAGUAAUCGUUGAUCACUAACGCAACGGUGAAGUUUUAAUUUAGGAUGAACUAACUGUCUGUCAAUCGGUAGAAGCUUUCCAAUAAGGAAGAAAUGGUAGUCAGGUCAUUAUUCUGAAUUACGCAGUGAUGUGCUCACUCCCGUUCCUACUCCCUCACCUAGGUAACUGGGUGCUAGGAGAUAAGUGACUAAGGAUAUGUGAGUACUGCCAAAUUCAUUGUUUUAAGCUAAGGAUGAAAGAUGCUGAUAACUGGGUCCAGUUAUUGUGAGUGACAUUCGAUAAGUCAUAGCAGGGUAGCCUUACUGGAAGGUGAGGCUGUAGUAUAGUUUUU